rnacentral:misc_RNA from 1 species
UUUCCGUAGGUGAACCUGCGGAAGGAUCAUUAUUGUAUAACCGAGGUGCGAGGGCUGUCGCUGACCCGAAAGGUCGUGCACGCCCGAGUGCCCUCACACACAUCCAUCUCACCCCUAUGUGCACCACCGCGUGGGUCCCCCUUUGGCUUGUUCGGAGGGGGGCUUACGUUUUCACACAAACUUUGUAUGCAGUGUAGAAUGUAUUUUUUGUUUUUGCGAUCACGCAAUCAAUACAACUUUCAACAACGGAUCUCUUGGCUCUCGAAUCGAUGAAGAACAGC